AAUUUGGUAGAGCGGUGGACUGUAGAUCGUGAAUCCAUAGGUCGCUGGUUCAAAUCCGGCCCGGAGGA